GUAAUCGUGGAGGAAUCUUUUGGCUCCGUCAGUAGGUGGCUAAAUUCAAGUUGUCCCACAGCCGCCAGAUGACGCGAGUGUCUUUGAGAGGACGAAAUAUUCGCCAUUUCGUUCCGAAACGCCAAGUGAAAAGGUAUUCCAAAUUCGUUACGGAAUUGCUGUGUCGAUCUACAUUUUCAGAAUUGAAAUACAAUCUGGCAUAUAAUUUCCACUUGGCCAAAUAAUCGAUCACGUGGACUGAAACUAUUUUUCAUUCUGCUUAAAUGUCCAUUGUUAGCUGUACCUGUUCGGAUGUACGUCUCAUCUCACGCAGAAACACUACAGAGUUGGUGUUCAGGUUGGAGAUCCUGUUGCUUAACUGUUGCAGAAUGUGAGAACUCGACAAAUUCUGAGCUCCAGCGAGCUGGUGAAAGGUGUGCUGCAGCUGCUGCAUUCAGUAUAUUGAGCUGGUGUUAUCCUGAAGUGUCAUUGCAGGAAAACUUUUUGAAAUGAACUUGGUGACACUUAAACUAUGCCUGUGCAGUGGUUUUGCAGCCUGUUUCCAGUUGAGAGAUGUGAUUAUGCAGCUGACACAGGAUUGAAGAAAAAGAACUGAAGUAGCUGUGCUGGUGUUCUUCUGAAAUUGCUGUGCCAUAGGAGUUGCAGAUAGUGUAGUAGUAGUUCCUCAUAGAAGUUUAUUUAAAGAGUCUGGAGAUGAUCAGCCACUCCUGCCUAUAACUUAUGUAAAACGUCAAAGUUGUAACUUGUUAGAAAUAUACAAGUCAAGU